rnacentral:rRNA from 1 species
GACGGAAGGUGCAAGCGUUGCUCGGAAUCACUGGGCGUAAAGGGUGCGUAGGCGGCCGUGCAAGUCUGGCGUGAAAGCCCCGGGCUCAGCCCGGGAAGUGCGCUCGAAACUGCGCGGCUCGAGUGCCGGAGGGGAGAGUGGAAUUCCUGGUGUAGCGGUGAAAUGCGCAGAUAUCAGGAGGAACACCGGUGGCGAAGGCGGAUCUCUGGGCCUUACCUGACGCUCAGGUGCGAAAGCUAGGGGAGCGAACAGG